UUAUUUGAAUUUCAAACAACAGACCAACCAUAGCUCAAUGUUUCUCAAGAGUAUCCUGUGGAGCACAGUGCGUGAACGCCCAGAAGAAAGCAGUCUGUGGUCAGGUGGGUUUCUGUGCCAUUUGCUGCCACCUUCCCUGCAAACAGUGAUUUACAGCACACAUUGUUCUUGUGUCUGUUCUGCAGUGAUAAAACCCAUUUAACUCAGUGGUUCCCAAAUGUACUGACCGUGGAACUGUUUUACUCAGGGGACACUGUUAACAUCCUGUAGAAGCACAGUAGCAGGUAUCCAGCCUGCAUACGAUAAGACAACCAGAACCAAAUUUGGCAGGUACAUGUCUGGAACUCUGUUUCAUUAUGCCGUAAAAUAAAACUACGAAUUUCAUUCAACAAAUCUGUACUGAAUAAGUAGGCUUCACUCUUGGGAUGUCAACUUUUAAAACUUACUUAAUAUCAGCUAUCGUUAUAUAAUCUUUGUUCAUAAUGACGCUGUCUGGUUGAACACAAACUGGCUGGGUGUUAAAUUCCACUUGUGUUUAUGAUAUUUAAUAAUGUCCUAAGAAGGCAGCCAGUAGAACCUUGGCUACUGUUUUUCAAAAGUGGCUCUGCAUUGCUCCUACAUAACCCCGUACAUUACUCCACAGUCCUGUUAGAGCCCUGAAAGGGAAACUGCUAAAAAUAAGGUUCUUCAUUUAGGUGACUAGGAACUCCCAAUAUUUUUGCCCUAGGGAAUACUGGGAGACAAAUCUCUACGAUCACAAAUUACUAAUGGUUUCCCCAGAACUGCUGGUGGCCAUAUCCCCUGGCAUGUGGAAGGGCCCAGAAGAGGCCACUCUACUGCAGAGGCCAACAGAAGAGUGUUGCCCAGGCUGGUCUCAAACUUCUGGGCUCAAGCAACCCUCCAGCCUCGGCCUCCCAAAGUGUUGGGAUCAUAGGCAUGAGACACCGUGCCUGGCGAAGAUAUUUUUACCGAAAAGGACAGAGGGUGUACUUGGAGGCACAUACCAAAGAAAUGCCAUGUGAGAACAAGCAAGAAGGUGGCCAUCUGUAAACCAGGAAGAGUGUCCUCACCAGAAAAUGAAGUGGCUUCAACUUUGAUCUCAGAAUUCCAGCCUCCAUAACUGUGAGAAAAUACAUUUCUGUUCUUUCAGCCAGUCUAUGGCAUUACAUUAUAGCAACCCAAGCAAACUAAGGCAUGCCCAGAAAUGACUACAGGGGUAAAAAUGAGCAGAUAAUUGGUUUUUAGUGUCCUGAAGUUUAUCUGCUUUUCCUUAUGUACUUAUAUCGUUGCCACUGCCACCAGGCUACUCUUCCUUCUUGUCUGCUCCCAAACAGG
rnacentral:lncRNA from 1 species